UCUCUGUUUCCUGAGCUGUAGUGAGGCUUUUUGACAUCUCGAAGGAGCUCUCCAUAUCUUGCCUCCUGUCCCUUCCUGGUGUCCCACUGUCAUCAUGCUGCUCCUGCUUAUGGCUCUGGACCAAGCACACAAAGUGGAUUGCUUCUGCUUAAAAGUAAACUAGAAUAUGCAAUCCAGGAACACCUAUGAAUGUCCAUUAAGCAGCUGGAGAACCCUUAAGAGCUGGAGAUCCCUUGGUCCGCUCCAAAGCUUAUCCAAAGUGGUGUAUAUUAUGGACGCUGGGUUCUCAGUGUUCACUAUUGAGCUGUGCAGGUGUUUUCUCAUCUCGUGUCAUGGUGCAGGAACAAGGAGAUGAAGCUUCAGCUAACAGGAGACAUCAGGCUCACAAUCAGCUACAAAGACCUCCAAUGAAUGGAGUACAUUGCUGAUCAGAACUACUUUCCAAGUCUGGUUCCUUCCUAUGAAAGUUAACUACCGUAUUCCAUAAGGGCAACACUGAGAUGAAACAAAAAAGGCUGCUCAUUUCCCAUGUGUUUUCCUGUGGAACUGUAGCAUGGAGCCCCUCAGUCUGCCUUUGGGUAUCCCUUAGGCAACAGGAACCAGUAUGCAGAUAGGAAAAGACUGAAUGCUUUUAGAAUCUCAAACAUUUUUUUUUGUUGGAAAGUGUGCAUGCAGUCAUGACUUUUUUGGAAAUUCACUGUCUGCCUUUUCAGGUGUGUAUUCUAUCUGCCAGUCUGAGUCUUAACCACUUGAGAACUGAUUCAAGGAU
ensembl:lncRNA